AUUGAAACCUCUAAGAGUGGA
rnacentral:miRNA from 1 species